GGUUAUGGUUGAAAGUAGAUGACAAGACGGGUAAAGCAACAAUGAAAGAUGGAUAUUUUGCCUUAACAAAGGGCAAAAAUUUUGCUUUCUGUACAGUUUUGAAGAAUUUAAAGGUGCCUUCAAAUUUUUGUACCAAUCUUCGCAACAAUGUUGGUACAAGUUCACCGGAGCUCAACGAUCCUGAGAUUUGGCUGCCCCGAAGCGGAGGUAAAAAUGUUGCCCUGUCGAUCCUCGUACCUUUUGCGGAUGUUAGCAAUGCAAAGGUGGUUUUACACGUAUUAGUGCUAGUAUUAGCAGCUUAAUUAACCGAGUAUGUCAAUUCGUAUCAUGUCUAUAACCCACAAAGAGUAUAAAACUUGAAGCGAACGUAAAACGGCAAAACACCUAUCCUGUAUCAGUGUCUUCUGGAUCAUUUCUUCCGGAUCACUUCAAGUACUCUCUCGUACCUUUUUUCUUCUUCUUCUUUAUCCGUUUGAUUUUGUUUUGGAGAGAAAGGCAAAGAUAUCAUUUCAUACUAAUAAUCUUUAUGCAAAGGAGUGUUAAACAAGUGAGUAUCUUCUUUCUCUCUUCCGAGUUAAAACGAAGCUACGAUCUUCUGAUGGCGAGUCGCGAGUAGUUCCCUACUGGGAUGCCGGACCUGUCUGCCGGGAGGGACCGAAUCAGGUCCAAUUUUUAAAUUCCUGCUUUACUUUUGGGGGAUGCUGAUACUUGUUGGGUCUUCACUGUUGGAUUUUUAUUUUACUCGAGUUUUAUUGGAUGCUGUUUGGAGAUGUAUCUUAGUAAUUACAUCUGUGGUAGUGAAAGUUAAUGAAGAAGCAAUUUUAAUUAUCGAAUCAAGGUUACUCUACGGGUUGUAAUUUUCUUAGCAGAAGGAAAUGUAAUGGUUCUCCUGUCCUUUAUUUUUUCCGGAGAAGAUGACCGAAUUAAAUCGGCCGUGUUAGUACUUGUUAAAUCGGUUUGUAAGAAAUUGUCAACAUUUUUCUU